rnacentral:misc_RNA from 1 species
AUUGAAGGUCACAAUUUUUUAUAUUUUUAUUCCACUACAAUCUGUUAGCAGAUGCUUGUCUAGAUCACGCACCUAUCAUGGAUAAAUUUCUUAUCAAUCUAAAACCAAUUUAUUAAGCAAAAUGGAUGAUGAUAAAUCUGCAACAAAAACACAAACAACAACUGAUAAAUCAUCUGUCAAUGAGUUAUAAUUUUUCUACAAAAACAAAACAAAAACAUCAGUGAAUUAAUAAUUCUAAUCAAGUGACAAUAUUAAAAUUAAAAAUGACAACACAAUAUCAAACAGAUGGAUCAACAAAUUACAAUUUAACAACAAACAUGGAUCCAAUAUUAAAACCUGAUUCAUCAAAUGAAACAUCAUCAACGAGAAAAAAUUUAUUUGAUUUAUCAACUGGUACUGAUGAUGUUAUCACUCAACAACCGCGUUUAAAUUCAACAAUAAAUAAUGGUGAAACAAUAAAAAUAACAAAUGAUAAUCAAAAAAAAGAUUCUUGUUGCAAUUCAUGUAUUGAGGCAACAAUAAAAUGUUGUUGUGAAUGUUGCACUGAGCUUAUGCAAUCAUCAGCAUUUCCAUGUUGUUGCUUCAUAUGUUGUCUAGCUGGAGAAUCAAAUUAAAAUAUAAACAUAAAUAAAACAACUGCCAUUACAAUAAUUUUUUGUUACUAAAAAAUGAAAAUCAAUUUUUCUAUUAUAUAUUUUUACAAAUAAUUUAAUCACGUUAAUAUUUUUUAUAAAAUUUUAUAAACCAGAUAUAUUUUUUCACAAAAAAAAAAAAAAAAAGUAUUUCCUUGUUGACAAUAUUGUAUAUUUAUUUUUUUUUUUUUUUUUUACAAUUUAUUAUAAUAUCAGUAUCUAAAAAUGUUUUAUUAAUAAAAAAUUUAGUAUAUAUAAAAUAAUUGAUGAAUAAAUAAACAUGAAUAUUUAGUUGACAAUUAACUGUUGUUAUUAUUAAAAUAAAAAUUAAUAUUCAAUAAUAAAAUACGGUAACAAAAACAAUAAUUAAAAAAAAAAAAAUAUGCUAAUACUUUUUGAGAAUGUAUCAUUUUCUUUUUUUUUUAAUCUCGAUAAUAUAUUGAUAUAAAUUCAGUGAGAUAUGUAUAUAUACAGUGGUCCAUUAAAUUAAAAAAAAAAAAAAAAUUGUUUAAUAAAUUUUGUAUAUAUUGUUAAUAUAUAAAAUUGUUAAAAGAAAAAUUUAAACAAAUAUAAAACAGGUAGAGAUUCAAUUUGCACCUUUUAUCAAAUUUAAAAAAUUUCUUUUGAUUGAGUUUUUAUUACACAGUAAUAAUAUUGUUUUUGUAAUUAUAUAUAUAUUUUUUUAUAAAGGUGUAAUAUUGAAUGGUCGAUGCGUAUUCUCUUCUCAAUAAAAAAUAAUUAAGUACCAACGUUUAUAAUUUGUUGAUAAUAAUUUAAUUUUAAUAAUAAAAAUUUGUAUAAUAAUAAUAAAAA